UGAAUUAGAGGAGACAAGGGG
rnacentral:misc_RNA from 1 species